rnacentral:lncRNA from 1 species
GGACCACAGCUGGGGCUGUUGGUCAGAAUAUUUACAAGUAGCCUCUCCAUGGGACCUUUGCUUCCUCAUAUCAAAAUGACUAAAAUCUGAAACUGGGUGCCUCCAGGUGACCAGGCAGAAAUUGAUGGCUUUUGUGACCAGGACAUUUAUCUGCUUCCUAGAAAUGUGAUUUGGAUGUUAUUUAAUAUCUGGAAUGUCGAGAAGCCUAUAGGACCCCAAGGAUGACCAGGUAUCCCAGCUGCUUCAGUGAGUGGAACUGAUUGUCUUUGGCACUGAGGAAGAUUUCUACACCCCUGCAAAUAUGGUGGUUCUUUUGGAAAGCCUGGCCCUACACCAAUGACUAAUGCCUUGACUCUGAGUCAAGAAAUAUGCAGACCAGUCUGCAUAUUUUCAAGAACCUGUUCUGACUAGUCUCUAUGGUCAACCUAAUGCAACCAAGAGUCACCUGAGAAGAGGGAGUCUCAACCUAGGCAGUGCCCAGAUCAGACUGGCCUAUGGCUAUGUCUGUGGGAAAUUGUCAUGAAUGUUGACUGAUAUGGAAAGGCUUAGCCUACUGUUAGAAAUGCCACCAAUGGGCAGAUAGUCCUAGGGUGUAUAAGAAAGUUUAUCAAGAGUCAGGCAGAGGCAGACAGAUCUUUGUGAGUUUGAGGCCACUGGUCUACAGAGUGAGUUCCAGGACAGCUUCCAAAACUACACAGAGAAAUCUGUCUCAAAAAAAAAAAAAAAAAAAAAAGACUAUGGGGCCCUUUGUAGUGGAUCAAUACUUAUCCCUAGUAUAGGAAUGGACUCUGGGAGCCCAUCCCAUAUGGAAGUAUACUCCCUGAGCCUAGACACAAGGGGGUUGGCCUAGGCCCUAUCCCAAAGGAUAUGACAGACUUUGAAGACCUCCUACAGAAGGACUCACCUUCCCUGGGGAGCAGAAAGGGUAUGGGUUAGGUAGAGUAUUAGUUGGGGGGUCUGGGGAGGAGGGGAGGGAGAGGGACCUGGGUUUUUUUUUGUUUUUUUGUUUGUUUGUUUGUUUGUUUUGAGACAGUGUUUCCCUGUGGCUUUGGAGGCUGUCCUGG